rnacentral:lncRNA from 1 species
GUAUGGGGCAAAUGAAAUGUUUUAUUUUAGCGCAAACGAAAUAUAGUUUCUGGCGCAAAUGAAAUGCCAAUUGGCGCAAAAUCAUAGGAUCGCGUGAUAUACGUGUCACGACAGUCAACAAGAAAUAAUAAUAAGCAAUUAUCAAUCUUCUUGUAUUUUUUUAUUAUACAUUAUCUGACAUAUUUCUUUUAUACUUCCAACGAAUCUUUUGUUUUAAUGAUGACAAAUUCUAAUCUCCUAUUUUUGGGUAUUCAAUUCUUUUUUUUUUCAGUUUGUUUUAAGCAUUUAAGCAAGAUAUUAAAGAUCUAUAUUUUUUCUAUUUAGAUCAAGCACAUUUAUAUAUGAUAUAUAUUAUAGAAUUCGUCUAAACAACAGCCCAACAAUGUUAGAUCUGUAAAUUUGCGGAAGCCUUGCACUAUGCCCGGGAUUCAAAUUCAUGCUAUUGAGAUAUCGUGGCACCAAAUCGCCUUGCACUAUGCCCGACGCGCUAGACCACUCAAUCACUUAGGCUCUAUAAAGAUUUCGGUGGCCGUGUGUUACCUUUCCUUGACAGUUUUUAUCUAGCGUCGUAACACAGUACAUGAUGUAUUAGGCAUGAAGAUAGAAUUGUUACAGAUCAGCUGAAUUAUCUUUUGUAAAGGAUCCUACAAAUUAAUGUAAGAUGCAGUCACAGAAAUAAUUAUAUUAUAAGUGCGUCUGAACCAGUGACGACUCGAUAACAAUUUUGUUUUCCAUCGGAUCACCAGCAGUGAUGUUGAUACAAGGCUGAAAAUAGAUUAUGUGUAUUAUAUAAUUCGUCUAAACAACAGCGCAACAAUGUUAGGUCUGUAAAUUUGCGGAAGUAUAUAUAUAAUGCAUAUUCCAAGUGUAUAAUACAUAAAAACAUGCCAAACAAUGUAAAUACAGC